rnacentral:rRNA from 1 species
AGAGUUUGAUCAUGGCUCAGAAUGAACGUUGGCGGCGUGGAUUAGGCAUGCAAGUCGCGCGAGAAGCUCCUUCGGGAGCGGAAAGCGGCGAAAGGGAGAGUAAUACGUAGAAAUCUACCUUGAGGACUGGGAUAGCGUUGGGAAACCGGCAGUAAUACCAGAUAAUAUCUUCGGAUCAAAUGGUGUGAUUCCGCCUUGAGAUGAGUCUACGUCCUAUUAGCUAGUUGGUUGAGGUAAUGGCUCACCAAGGCGACGAUGGGUAGCGGGUGUGAGAGCAUGACCCGCCUCACUGGGACUGAGACACUGCCCAGACACCUACGGGUGGCUGCAGUCGAGAAUCUUUGUCAAUGGACGAAAGUCUGAACAAGCGACGCCGCGUGCGGGAUGAAGGCCUUCGGGUUGUAAACCGCUGUCGUAGAGGAGCAAAUUCUUAAGGGUUAUCCCUUUUGAUUGAGCGAUUCUAGGAGGAAGGACGGGCUAAGUUCGUGCCAGCAGCCGCGGUAAGACGAACCGUCCAAACGUUAUUCGGUAUCACUGGGCUUAAAGAGUUCGUAGGCGGCCUAGCAGGUCAGGUGUGAAAUCCCACAGCUCAACUGUGGAACUGCGCUUGAAACCGCAAGGCUUGAGGGAGAUAGAGGUGAGCGGAACAGAUGGUGGAGCGGUGAAAUGCGUUGAUAUCAUCUGGAACACCGGUGGCGAAAGCGGCUCACUGGAUCUCUUCUGACGCUGAGGAACGAAAGCUAGGGUAGCGAACGGGAUUAGAUACCCCGGUAGUCCUAGCCGUAAACGAUGAGCACUAGUCCGUGGGACCCUUCACAGUUUCUCGGACGUAGCGAAAGUAUU